rnacentral:rRNA from 1 species
UGCCAGACUCCUACGGGAGGCAGCAGUGGGGGAUAUUGCACAAUGGGGGGAACCCUGAUGCAGCGACGCCGCGUGGGUGAAGGAGCGUUUCGGCGCGUAAAGCCCUAUCGGCAGGGAAGAAGGAGGACGGUACCUGACUAAGAAGCCCCGGCUAACUACGUGCCAGCAGCCGCGGUAAUACGUAGGGGGCAAGCGUUAUCCGGAUUUACUGGGUGUAAAGGGGGCGCAGACGGCAGCGCAAGCCAGGAGUGAAAGCCCGGGGCCCAACCCCGGGACUGCUCUUGGAACUGUGUGGCUGGAGUGUCGGAGAGGCAGGCGGAAUUCCUAGUGUAGCGGUGAAAUGCGUAGAUAUUAGGAGGAACACCAGUGGCGAAGGCGGCCUGCUGGGCUUCUACUGACGCUGAGGCUCGAAAGUGUGGGGAGCAAACAGGAUUAGAUACCCCAGUA